UACGUAGGUGGCAAGCGUUGUCCGGAUUUACUGGGCGUAAAGAGCGCGCAGGCGGUCGUUCAAGUCGCGUGUGAAAGCCCCCGGCUCAACUGGGGAGGGUCACGCGAUACUGAUCGACUGGAAGGCAGGAGAGGGUAGUGGAAUUCCGCGUGUAGCAGUGAAAUGCGUAGAUAUGCGGAGGAACACCGAUGGCGAAGGCAAUCCCCUGGGCCUGUACUGACGCUCAUGCACGAAAGCGUGGGGAGCAAACAGG
rnacentral:rRNA from 1 species